AGCUUGAAGAUGACAUCUGCCUGAACAGUUACCACAGUUGUCCAGUCCUGCAUUCAGAAAGCAAUACAAGGUUGACUCAACUGUAAUUGGCCAUUCAGAGUUCUGUGAUGAAGGUUUUGUGGCUUAAGUGGAUAUUUUAUAUCUCUGAG